rnacentral:tRNA from 1 species
AAAUUGGUCAGCUAAAAAAGCUAUUGGGUUCAUACCCCGAAAAUAAAGAAUAGAACCUUUCCAAUUUA